UUUGAGUUUGGAAACCAAACCCUAACACCUCUUCCCUCUCUCUGCUCCACACCCCUAACGUCUCUUCCCUCUCUCUGCUCCACACAAACGAAACCCUAACGCCUCUUCCAUCUGGUUGCUCCUCACGAAACCCUAAUGCCUGUGUCCUCUCACGAAACCCUAACGCCUCUGUCCUCUCACAAAAGUAACGCUCACUCUCGGGUCCGCCAUUGCCACCUCCGCGCAAGGAUUCAACGUUUGUUUAGGUUCGUUUCGUUUCGUUUCUUCUAUCUGCAACUAAAACCCUAACUCGUGUUCAAUUUCGUCUACCAUUUUUACUCGUUUCAACUGCAUUUCGGGUAUCUCUGCCUCUGGUCUCUGUUAUCUCCAGGAACUAAGUCUCUUGGAGAUCACUGCCUCACCCUAUCUUAGGUGGCCUCUGCUUCUCUCAUGUUGGUUUGGCAAUCUCUGCCUGUCACUAAGAAUUUUUAUUUUUAAUUGUGAAUAUCAUCAUUAUUAAGUAAUUUAUUUUAUCAUUUUUGAGAAUUUGUAUGUAUAUUGUAUAUGAUAUAUAAACAAUUUAGGUUGAAUUGUUAGCUUGAAGCAGUUGAUAGAUUAACAUGUUUUCCAAAUCCUACUUUCCUCUAACAUAUAGAGGUUGCUAUUAUUAGCUAAAUUAGGCUCAAUGUCUUAUUAAAUAUAUUUUUGGGUUUUCGGUUUAAUGUCUUGUUAUCAGUUAAAUUAGGCUUCAACAGAUUAGAAUAAAACUGUUAUACUGCUUGAGGUACCUCAUCUCAUGUGCAAAUUAACUUAACUAUCAUUGUUUGUGUAUUUAUUGCGGGAGAAGAUUCAUAAGCUAGUUCUUUCUUGAAACUAUAUGUAAGUUGUAUUCUGAUUGCAAGUGACCAUGCAUUUGGUGUGAUUUUUCAUUCUUUCUGGGAAUCAACUGAUGCACAGUCAUCGUCUAAGACUAGACUUAUAUUAGUUGAAAUGAUUAAAUAAUGUAUUAGUUUCACAGAGGUUUAUACCAUUUAACCAAAUUUAAAUAAGAAAAAUGAUUUGAAAAAGAACAUGUUAAAAAGGAUGUUGACAUUCAAGACCUUGGUGAAAUAUCUGCAGAAGCUCAACAAUAUAUUUUCAAUUUGCAAUCUCGUUUGUCUUCCAUGAAAAAGGUACUUUGUAAAAAUUAGGGAUCGUCUUGUUGAUAUUUGAAUUGAAAGGAAUAACCAUGGGAUUCAUGAAGUCUUGAAUGGCCUGUGAAAUGUUAUGCUUCAUGGACACUGUUAAUUCUUGAUUUUCGCAUAUUUUAUGGUAUGCUUCAUCCUUUGAUUCAUGUUCUGUUUUAUUUUUGUGCUUGAUAAUGAUUGAUUUGCAUUCAAGAUCCUUAAUUGCAUAUAGGUCUGUAAUACAUUGUUAAUUCUUGAUUGUCGCAGAUUUUAUGGUAUGCUUCAUCCUUUGAUUCAUGUUCUCUUUUGUUUUUGUGCUUGAUAAUGAUUGAUUUGCAUUCAAGAUCCUUAAUUGCAUAUAGGUCUGCAAUACAUUUAGCUUGUUUUUCUCAUUUGGAUUUCUUUUUGUUUUGCGGGACACUUUUAAAGGAGUUACAUGAAGUAAAGAGGAAAAGUGUUGCUAUUCAAAUGCAACAGUUUGUCGGAGAGGAAAGAAUGAUUUAUUGGAUUACUUGAGAUCACUUCAACAUGAACAGGUUUUUCCCUUUUCUGGAAUUUCUGAUUUUCCUUGCAUUUGGACCUAUUCUCCUUUGGUGCUUUUUGCUCUGUUACAUCUGUGGCUCAUUCUCUUAACCAUGAAUAGGAUUCUUUCUGAUAUAAUUUUUCUGAUAGAUGCAAUGAUACAGAGCAUAACAUAAAUAAAUAACUAAGCAUUUGUGUUCUGUUCUGCACAAUACUUUUUUGCUUGUGUGCAGUGCAAUUUUGUACGAUUUUGGUGAACAUUUUAUAUGUAUAAUAAGAAAUGAUUCUUUGUCUCUGUCCCUAGAGCUUUCCCUAUGCCACAUCUACAGAAUAAAACUUAGUGUGAACUAUACUGACUAGAUGAGUAUUUUAACCUUAAAAGUUCCAAGAUUAUACAUCUAGAUGGGGAGAGCAGGACUGUGCUUUGCUUCGAUUGCUCCUUUACUCUGGAGAAAAUUAAUCAGUAGGUUUUUAUCUAAAUAGUAAAGAGAUUGAAUUGAAGCCUGCUUAUUCUAAACAACUAAUCAAAACUUCUAUUCUUAGAAUGAAACAUAGUGUGGUUUUGAUUAUUUUUCACAACAUGAAAGGUUAUGGUCACUGAGCUUUUAAUACUGGAAAAUGAAUGCACGGUUCUCUAUCCUGCUUCUGCAAAGGCUAGCCAUGAGAUUGGGACAUUAGAUAUCUUAUUGCUUUGUUAAAAAGAUAAUAUUUAGAAGUUUAAUGCUCUGGUCAUCUUGUUGUCUUUUUGUUUUCCUAUUCUUCUACACUUUUAAAGAAUUAAAGCUAACCAACUCAUAGGAGUCAAUUAACUGGACCCACAAACUUGAUGAGUUAAGAAGAAAUAUUUUUUUUUUCUCAAAAACUGGACUCAGUUUUCUUAAGUAACACAAGAUAAGCCUAUCCAAGUAGGCUCACACAUUUGUCUCUAUCAUGUUAGGCUAUGGAGAGAUGUAAGCUAUCAUAAAGGUGUAUAUUUGAGCAAAAUUUUCCAUAAAAAAAAUAUGUUAAAUGAAUUUCGUUAUAAGUUAAAAAUUAACUUAUACAAAAAUUAAAAAACAAUAAUUUAAAGAAGUUAUAUUAGAGAAUUAUUUUUUACGCAUGAGUUAAUUUCAAAUAUUGAAACAUAGAUUUUGAAAUAUUAAAUUAACGUCUCACCAAAUUGAUUGAUUGGGUCGAAUACGUAGCGAUGAUGGGCCUACAGGACAACUUACAGAUUGUUUUGUUUGGAUUGUCUUUAUUUACUGCAAAUGUGAAGUUCUUGCAUGAUUUAUUGGUGGUAAAGUCAAAUUUCAAGUUAAAAUAAAAUUUCAAAAUUGUAGCUAUAAUUUUGCUAAACUGAAGGUGAGAUCAUGAUGAUGUGGUGUAGUGCGAUGUCAUAGUUGUACUCUUGCGUCUUCACUUGAAAAAAAAAGGUAUCAUGUGCCAGUAGGGCAAAUUAAUACUUGACUAUUAUCAUGCUCUUUACAGAAAAAAUCAGUAAAUCAAUUGAAUCUUAUCGAUGAAUUUUUCUUGCAGGAGGUUUCAAUUAAUAGUAUCAUCAUUUGAAAAUUCCAAAAAAUUCAUAUCCCUACUCUUUUAAUACAAGCUAUCAAUAUAGUGUGUAAGGCGGUUAUUGUAUUUUAUGCAUUAAUCUGAAUCAUUUUGUGAAUCAGGACUUCUUUGGAAAACCAACAUUUUGAGUAGAAAAUUCCAACACUUCUAGGCACCUGGCUGAAUUUUGGGUUGGUGAUUUCGUUUUCUUGUGUGUUCAAUUUGAAUUAAAAAGAAGCUGGACUAUGAAUCCCUUUUUUCUUAUUAUGAAUAAUCUAUAUGUUUUUUUUUCUGCUUUGAUUGCUGAAGUAAUCUAAUGAUAACAUCUAUCUUUGAUGUGUCUAAUGGACAUUUUUCAGCUUCACAAUCAUCUAGUUGCUUCUCAGCUUCACAACCAUCACUCUAAGUAAGUUUGUUUUAGUUAACUUUUUUUACUCCAGUUUAAUAUAUAAUAUUCAUUAACUUAAAAUUAUUUAUUUCAGGCAUCAGAUUAUGGAAGUGGUGCUCCAUCACCUAAUCAAGUAAUAGGAUCAAGUGCCGGAAGCAAAACUAAUUAGGGAUGUGUUUUUAAUUUUAAACUUGAUUAGGGAUAUAUGAACUUUUGAACAAUUGUGUUGUAAUUUUGAACUUGAUUAGGGAUGUAUGAACUUUUUAUGUGUUUUAAUUUUCAAUUACAUAUAAACUUUUGAACAUUACUAUGUGUG
rnacentral:lncRNA from 1 species